AAUGAUUGAUAGGGACAGUUGGGGGUGCUAGUAUUCAGCGGCCAGAGCAGUUAUUCUCGGAUUCACCGAAGACAAACUUAUGCGAAAGCAUUCACCAGGCAUUUCUUCUUUAAUCAAGAACGAAAGUUGGGGGAUCGAAGACGAUCAGAUACCGUCGUAGUCUCAACCAUAAACUAUGCCGACUAGGGAUGAGUGAACGUUGCAUUUUCGACUUCAUUAGCACCUUAUGAGAAAUCCAAGUCCUUGGGUUCCGGG
rnacentral:rRNA from 1 species